UACGUAGGGUGCGAGCGUUGUCCGGAAUUAUUGGGCGUAAAGAGCUCGUAGGCGGCUUGUCGUCGUCGUCCGUGAAAACUUGGGGCUCAACCCCAAGCUUGCGGUCGAUACGGGCAGGCUAGAGUUCGGUAGGGGGAGACUGGAAUUCCUGGUGUAGCGGUGAAAUGCGCAGAUAUCAGGAGGAACACCGGUGGCGAAGACGGCUCUCUGGAACGCAACUGACGCUGAGACGCGAAAGCGUGGGGAGCGAAACAGG
rnacentral:rRNA from 1 species